GCAUUAAUGGGGUAGUGGUAACCUGGGUCGUUGCCAUGACUGGAGCUUUGACACUCUCGACCCGCCGGGGGUUCGAUUCCCCCUUAAUGCA